GCCUGGUACGGUGGUGUACACCUGUAAUCCCAGCAGCUCAGGAGGCUGAGGCAGGAGGAUUGCAAGUUCAAAGCCAGCCUCAGCAACAGUGAGGUGCUUAGCAACUCAGUGAGACCCUGUCUCUA
rnacentral:sRNA from 1 species